rnacentral:rRNA from 1 species
UACAGAGGUGGCAAGCGUUGUUCGGAAUUACUGGGCGUAAAGCGCGUGUAGGCGCCUGCUAAGUCGAACGUGAAAUCCCCCGAGCUCAACUCGGGGAACUGCGUCCGAUACUGGCAGGCUUGAAUCCGGGAGAGGGAUGCGGAAUUCCUGGUGUAGCGGUGAAAUGCGCAGAUAUCAGGAGGAACACCGGUGGCGAAGGCGGGUCUCUGGGCCGAUACUGACGCUGGAGGAGCGAAAGCGUGGGGAGCGAACAGG